UACGUAGGGACCGAGCGUUGUCCGGAAUCAUUGGGCGUAAAGAGCGUGUAGGCGGCCCGGUAAGUCCGCUGUGAAAGUCCAGGGCUCAACCCUGGGAUGCCGGUCGAUACUGCCGGACUAGAGUUCGGAAGAGGCGAGUGGAAUUCCCGGUGUAGCGGUGAAAUGCGCAGAUAUCGGGAGGAACACCUAUGGCGAAGGCAGCUCGCUGGGACGUUACUGACGCUGAGACGCGAAAGCGUGGGGAGCGAACAGG
rnacentral:rRNA from 1 species